AUGGAGAACAGACUCAUGGUUGGCAAGGUCAUUCAACUUGAUGAUGGUGGAAUAAGCACUGUUGGCUUGAGGCCUCUUAGAACUGCUCCCUUCAAGAAUCUCAGAGACCUCAAAGUUGGCAACAAUCCCCCACAUGCUGAUCAAAGGGUGGGGAUCGGAAGUUGGCAGGGGAGAGAUGGACAGGGAUGGGGGCUGGUCUCCGAGGGCCCUUCAGCCCUUGUGGCCAAUCUCUUUGAAGAGUAGAAGGACUCCGAUCCCUUACAUUAGCGUUUCCAAGGCAUAAGGUGUGCACUCCUGGUUUUACUCAUGAUUUUAGAUCGUCCACAGGCAAGGCAUGAAAUAGCAUCAGCUCAGAACGAGGGAACAAUUCCCUUUUCAAUUUUCUUUCAGCCUUUCCAGUUUUAGCAAGAGAAAUGGGCUUCAACACAGGUCUUCAGCAAGCAACACUCUCUAGUUAGAAUCUGAUUGUAUUUCUCAGUUUUCAUAAUCAUCGUUUGGGGCUGCCCUCUGUUGUUGCAAGAAUUACAGUAACAGGGAAAGAUCGUUCUGAUACUAGUUUUCCAUUUAUUUGUUUAUUUAUUUAUUUAUUUUUUCUAUAGCCGCGCUCAUGGCACAUGCCGGCCUACGCCAGAGCCACAGCAACGUAGGAUCCAAGCCACAUCUGCGUCCCACACCACAGCUCACGGCAACACUGGAUCCUUAACCCACUGAGCAAGACCAGGGAUCAAACCCACAACCUCAUGGUUCCUAGUCGGAUUCGUUAACCACUGCGCCACAGCGGGAACUCCUAGCUAAAAAGUGACUACAUUCAGGGAGUUCCCACUGUAGCUCAGCAGAUUAAGAACCUGACUAGUAACCACGAGGAUUCAGAUUCUAUCCCUGGCCUCCCUCAGUGGGUUAAGGAUCCUGCGGCUCGGACUGGCAUUGUUGUGGCUGUGUGUAGGCUGGCAGCUGCAGCUCCAUUUCCACCCCUAGCCUGGGAACUUCCAUGUGCUACAGGUGUGACCCUAGGGGGAAAAAUUUGACUACAUUUAAAGAAAACUGUUGGAGUUCCCGUCGUGGCUCAGUGGUUAACAAAUCUGACCAGCAUCCGUGAGGAUGUAGGUUCGAUCCCUGGCCUUGCUCAGUGGAUGAAGGAUCCAGUGUUGCCAUAAGCUGCGGUGUGGGUCACAAACACAGCUCCGAUCUGGCGUUGUUGUGGCUGUGGUGUGGGCUGGCAGCUGUAGCUCCACUUAGGCCCCUAGCCUGGGAACCUCCAUAUGCCGUGGGUGCAGUCCUAAAAAAAGAAAGAAAAAAGAAAACUAUUGAGUAAAUAAAAAUAUGGCUGGCAUACA
rnacentral:lncRNA from 1 species